CCUACGGGUGGCUGCAGUGGGGAAUAUUGGACAAUGGGCGAAAGCCUGAUCCAGCCAUGCCGCGUGUGUGAAGAAGGCCUUCGGGUUGUAAAGCACUUUCAGUGGGGAAGAAAGCCUUGGGGCUAAUACCCUCGAGGAAGGACAUCACCCACAGAAGAAGCACCGGCUAACUCCGUGCCAGCAGCCGCGGUAAUACGGAGGGUGCGAGCGUUAAUCGGAAUUACUGGGCGUAAAGCGCGCGUAGGCGGUCUGAUAAGCCGGUUGUGAAAGCCCCGGGCUCAACCUGUGAACGGCAUCCGGAACUGUCAGGCUAGAGUGCAGGAGAGGAAGGUAGAAUUCCCGGUGUAGCGGUGAAAUGCGUAGAGAUCGGGAGGAAUACCAGUGGCGAAGGCGGCCUUCUGGACUGACACUGACGCUGAGGUGCGAAAGCGUGGGUAGCAAACAGGAUUAGAUACCCCAGUAGUC
rnacentral:rRNA from 1 species